AACGAACGCUGGCGGCAUGCCUAACACAUGCAAGUCGAACGAGACCUUCGGGUCUAGUUGCGCACGGGUGCGUAACGCGUGGGAAUCUUCCCUUGGGUGCGGAAUAACAGUUGGAAACGACUGCUAAUACCGGAUGAUUACGUAAGUCCAAAGAUUUAUCGCCCAGGGAUGAGCCCGCGUAGGAUUUGCUAGUUGGUGGGGUAAAGGCCUACCAAGGCGAAGAUCCUUAGCUGGUCUGAGAGGAUGAUCAGCCACACUGGGACUGGGACACGGCCCAGACCCCUACGGGAGGCAGAAGUGGGGAAUAUUGGACAAUGGGCGAAGGACUGAUCCAGCAAUGCCGCGUGAGUGAUGAAGGCCUUAGGGUUGUAAAGCUCUUUUACCCGCGAUGAUAAUGACAGUACCGGGAGAAUAAGCCACGGCUAACUCCGUG
rnacentral:rRNA from 1 species